rnacentral:lncRNA from 1 species
UCCCCACUCUGCUAAGCUCACUUUCAGGUGACACACCUUUAGUGUCCAGAGAAGAGCCAUUUCUGUCCUAUGAUGAUCACAGAAGCCCCAGCUCAGACCUCAGCCCACUGACCAGUCUUGCCAUGUCAGCCUCUGUGUUCAUAGGCACCAUGUCCCCUCUCCUUUCACGUGGAGGCAAAAUGUUUGUGGCCUCCCCCUGGGAAGCCUUCCAUCACACUGUUAGCUGCAGAUUACUCUGACUUGCACUUUUCGCCAGCUCUUGGCCCUCCUACAGCAUAUGUCACCUCUCGCCCAGCAUCCCAGUGGUUUAGGUGUGCUUGUGUGGGGGACUUCCUCUGAGCUCUGCAGGAAGGAAGGCCCCUCUUUCUCCUUUUCCCUUCAGUGGUUUCUCUCCUACCUCCUCCUCCACCAGGGAGGCCCUGCCACUCAGAGAGGGAUCAGCAGGGGAUCCCCAGCUUGCCUCUGUCCACCUGGAUCAGGUGAGAGAGGAGAAACCCUUUAGUCUCCACUUUGUCAGAUCCAGUUUUGGCAACAAUAGAGAUGAUACUUUUAGCCCUGGGUCAGUUUCUCAAUUGGUUGAAACCUCUGAUCAGAGGAGGGUGAUUGCCACUCAGACCUUAUUUGGGUUGAAAGUCCCUUGAGAGCAGAAACUGUUCCUACUUUUAGUAAAUUUUAAAAAACUACGUAAUUCUUAAUACAUAUGAAAGACAAAUGUAGUAUAUCUGUAAGUUAUAAAGCACAAUAAUGAACACUGGAACUAAGAACUAAGCCAUGGAGAGGGAGAGAUAAAUUAGGAGUUUGGGGUUAGCAAAUACAAACUACUGUAUAUAAAGGAGAUAAACAACGAAGUCUUACUGUAUAGCACAGGGAACUAUAUUCAAUAUCUUGUAGGAAACUAUAAUAGAAAAUAAUUUUUUUCAAAAAGAACUAAUCCAGUUUGUCUUCCUCCAUCUAUCCUCCUGCCUUCUCACAAAAGAUAACCACUAGCCUGCAUUUUGAGCCUGAUAUUGCCCCUCUAUUUCUUGUUUUCAGUUUUAACAAAUAUAUAUACAUUUCUGAGCUAUAUAUACUUGAAUUGUGCUGGGGCUUGGGGGUGGGAUUCUAUAUAAAUAAUGUCAAACAGAAUUUAAUCUUUAGUGAUUAUGAGAUUUACUGUUUAAACCUGGAUGUGCACCUACCCUGCAACUCAGCAAUUCCAUCCCUAGGUAUAAACCCCAGUGCUGUGGUCCUCAAACUUUUUGCUUUCAGAACUCUUUUAUCCUCUUAAAAAUUAUUGGCGAUCCUAUACCAAAGAGCUUUUGUUUAUAUCGGUUACAUCUAUUGAUAUUCACUAUAAUAGAAAUUAAAACUGGGAAGUUCCCAUUGUGGCUCAAUGGUAACAAGCCCCACUAUUAUCCAUGAGGAUGCUGGUUCAAUCCCUGACCCUGCUCAGUGGGUUAAGGAUUCGGCCUUGCUGUGAGCUGUGGUGUAGGUCACAGAUGUGACUUGGAUCCCGAGUUGCUGUGACUGUGGCGUAGGUCCGAAGCUGUAGGUCCGAUUUGACUGCUAGCCUGGGAACUUCCUGAUGCCAUGGGUGCAGCCCUUAUAAAAAGAAAGAAAGAAAUUAAUUCUGAAGCCUUUAAAAUUUAUUAACUAAUUUUAAAAUAAACUCAUUACAUGUUAACGUAACAUAUUUUAUGUUAACAUAAUAUAUACUUUCAAAUGUAGGGCGAUGAGUGGCAUUGUUUACAUUUCACAAGUCUCUUUAUCAUCUCGCUUUCAUAGACAACAGCCUCAUACAGCUCUAUAAUUGGAAAUGGUAGGAGGAUUUUAAUAGCCUUUUCUGAUAAUUAUGUGUAUAUCAUGUAGCCUCUAGAAAACUCCUCUGCACAGGCCUGACAAAAUGAGAGUGAAAAUUGCUCUGGAAAGUAGUUUUGACCUCAUGCACCCCCUAAAAGGGUUUCAGGGAUCCCUGUGGCUCCUUGGAUCACACUUUAAGAACUUUUGCCUUAGUGAAACUAGCAUGUGCACACCAGGAGGGAUGUGCCAGGUUGUUCAUUGCAGCGUUGCUUGUAAUAGAAAAAGUUGGAAACCACCCAAACAUCGUGAGUGGACAAGAGAAUAAGUGAAUUAUGGUUCAGUCACACAAUGAUGUGUUUAACAGCAGUGAAAAUAAAGCCUCUUUUCCUCAUCUUUGUACAUGGGAAGUCUGUGUAUUAACAGAGUCCUUGCAUUUUGACAGAGUAGCUCAUCUGAUUGGCAGAGACUAGAAUGUUAAGUGAGGCCCUGCACAAAAUAGAUGUGUAAGAGAUGGGCAAACAGUGCACAUACCCAAAGAUGGAAUAAAGAGGCAAAGCCAGUCACCUACCCUCUGGUCAUGACCUUUGUCAUGUUAAAUUCUCAGCCCGAAGCCUUUUAUUUUCUGAAACACUUGACUUCAUCCUAUGAUUAAAAGCUAACUUCCUGUUUUCAAAUGAUAUGUAUGUCAUGGCAAAGUAGUUUGCAAACAGUGAGCCUUAAUGAACAUGAGCUCCUCAAGAAUUCAGCAAAUUUAUAAAAGCCAUUCUUCCCUUUGGAAGUUGGAGUGCACAGGGCUGGUACAAGGACAUUUGUACCUUAAACUGAGCCUUCUUGCUGGAAUAAGAAUGUUUCAAAGCGGCAUCUUCCUACACAUCUGAUCUCCAGUUAAAAGGGAAAAAGGAACAAUUGAGAGCUUUGUAGAGGCCCAACCGGCCACUGAAAUGAUCCUCAUCAGCACAAAAUCCUAAAGGUUGUAAGGACUCAGGAUUCCUAUGAAUGGAAUUGUUUCCCAAACAGCUCUGCACUCCUCCACCACCAUUCCAUCCCCCCAACACACACACACACACACACACACACACACGCACACAUACUGUACUAGUACUCUUUCAGAUGAGAGGGGCAACGGUGGCAUUCAGUGGCCAGAGAAGACCAAACUGAGGAAUGGGGGGUUGUAAAGGAUACAUGUUGUACCCAUACUUCAAACACGCAUUUAUAUUAGCAGUUAUUAAUACAGUGACACCUCAUAUAUCCAGAGGUUCUUAUGCAGCCAAAUUACUAGUAUUGAACACAGAUUUUCCACAUGGUACUACUUUGAUUUUUUUGAGCUAUCAAAUAUAAAAUUUUCCUCAACAGUCUUUUCCAUUUUAUAAUGUUCCUGUGUUGCCCACCAGUUUUUUCCCUGGCUUAACUCCCAAGGAGCAGGCAGCCAGAUAUGGGCCCACCAGGCAGGAGACUGGAGGUUUCUCCUCAGGUAAAAUUUGCCCAAGGGAAAUGGCUUGCAAGUCACCUAAAUAAACAGUGAGAGCCACCUAAGUAAACAGUGGGAUCUCUGCCUAGUUAUCCUGCCUGAAGCUUUUUAAUCAAUAACGCUUUCUCUCCCUCUCCCUCCUUUCCCUCUCUUUCCCUCCCUUCCUCCUUCUCCCUCUCCCUUUAAGUCUCUCUCUCUCUCUCCCUCUCACAUACACGCAAACAGACACACACAGAUUUUUUUAAUCAGCUUUUUCAUGCUUCAUUCUUAAAUAAGGCUAAAUAACCAAAAAUCAUAUAAUCGAGGAAAAGUCUCUAAUUUAAAAAAUAGCAGCUAAAACAAAUAAAACACUGAACUCAGAGAAAAAUAGAGACAUUCAGAAAAAAAGGAGAAAAGAAAGAUACAUUCUGUGGUUAAUCCUCAGGAAGAGAAAAUAAUGUACCCAUGAAAAAUAGAACAGGAUACUUUUUUUUUUUUUUUAAGAAGCAUCUGGAAAACAAACAACUCUUGGAAUUAAAAAGAUGAUAGCAGAGUUUACAACUCAAUUAAAGAGAUGGGAAAUAAAAUUUAGGAAAUCUCUCAAAACAAAUCCAUAACUUUGUUGAAAUCUGGCAUUUAAGAUGCACUUGCUUUAUCAAUCAAAAAUUAUUCAGGGGGGUUCCUGUCGUGGCUCAGUGGUUAGCGAAGUGAAUCCAACUAGGAACCAUGAGGUUGUGGGUUCAAUCCCUGGCCUUGCUCAGUGGAUUAGGGAUCCAGCGUUGCCAUGAGCUCUGGUGUAGGUCGAAGACAUGGCUCGGAUCCCACGUUGCUGUGGCUCUGGUGUAGGCUGGUGGCUAUAGCUCCGAUUGGACCCCUAGUCUGGGAAUCUCCAUAUGCCACAGAAGUGGCCCAAGAAAUG